UUCACAUUCGAGUCUGUAUUGGAGAACGUCCUCUCCCCAAAAAAAGAGAAGACGUCUACCGCAAGGUUUUAGCCAAUCAGAGUGCGUUGCCUAAAAUAGCACUCGUACACUAGGAGAAACAAAUAUGGCGCGGUGGAGUUCGAAAUCGAGAGUAGGCCUAUUGUUGAUGAGGCAAGCAGUCAGAGCAGUCCAGAACUAGAGGGUAAAGAGCUACCUGAGCAUACUAUCUUGUGAUUUCAGCCUCAUUAGAAAAAAAACCCUGUAUAAAGGUUUAGUAGAGUUGGCAGUGACACAUAGCACUUCCAGGUCCAGUACUAAAGAGGAGGAAGAGGUGUGAGAUCAGGAGGAUUGACUCAAGAACAUGAAUGGAGAAUUCAGUAACUCACAGAAGAGAGCAUACAUGAUGGUGUUGCCAAGAAAAUGAUGGUGUUGCCAAGGAAAGUGCUGAAUACAUUGUGACAAGUGUGAUGGAAAUCCUGGCCUUGCACUGGAUAUAAAGAUGCUUUUGCUAGAGAAUUUACCAGGCAAUGACUCAGCAUCAGUGGAGAUGGGACUGGCCCAUCUCCCACUCACUGUAAUGUCCCCUACAUUUUGACUGCCGUUGAAUUUGCUGGAUUACUUCACUUUGAA